GUUCACCAAGGUGGUGGCCCUGCUGGAAAGGGAGCGUGUUCUUACAGACCUACUGGUAGAGAGCAUCGAGGACUACUCCACCAGUGAGGAUGAAGUCUCU